ACACCACUGAGUGGCACACACUGCAGUGAGAUCAAGUCAAACGCUGUGCCUUUAAUUUUCUCAAAGGCUGGAUCUGGAAUGAAACAUUUUUCCCCUUGAAGGGGAUAACGGCAAGCUAUCAUGAAGGAUACACAUCAACAAAACCUGAUGGACAGAAAUCUUCACGUCAAGGCAACACAGAUGGGAGGAAGACUGACGGCUUCCGCAUGCUUGUAACCCUCCCCACUUGCCAAAUGAUGGACAGCCCAGAAGAAUAGAAGAUGGUAAGGGUGAGAGCAGCAGGGCCAGCGUGGAGGAGAGGGCAGCACAUAUGGAAAGCUCUUGUGUUUGUAAUGGUUUGUCUAGUGCAUGCUGAUGGGCGGACCGGUAGGCGUUUGAAGGAGUUUACAUCUAAGCACUUACUCGUUGCAGUUCUUACGUUAUGGCCGCAGCUAUUUGGUAAAUACCCUAGCGAUAUGUUUGUCAUGCUUUAAAGACUCAUACAGACGAUUAUUCUUUUAUUUCAUGUCUCUUAGGACUGUAUUAAUCUUUCUUUAUUUCUCUU